AGGGAAAUAGCUCAGGGGUAGAGCACGUGCUUAGCAUGCAUGAGGUCCUGGGUUCAAUCCCCAGUGCCUCCG
rfam:Camelus ferus unplaced genomic scaffold scaffold236, whole genome shotgun sequence.